ACGAACGCUGGCGGCGUGCUUAACACAUGCAAGUCGAACGGAAAGGCCCUGCUUUUGUGGGGUGCUCGAGUGGCGAACGGGUGAGUAACACGUGAGUAACCUGCCCUUGACUUUGGGAUAACUUCAGGAAACUGGGGCUAAUACCGGAUAGGAGCUCCUGCUGCAUGGUGGGGGUUGGAAAGUUUCGGCGGUUGGGGAUGGACUCGCGGCUUAUCAGCUUGUUGGGGGGGUAGUGGCUUACCAAGGCUUUGACGGGUAGCCGGCCUGAGAGGGUGACCGGCCCCAUUGGGGCUGGGAUACCGCCCCGACCCCCACGGGGGGCAGGCGGGGGGAAUUUUGCAAAAUGGGGGGGAGCCCGAGGGCAGCAACGCCCGGGGGGGGUGGCGGGCUUUGGGUUUUAAAACCCUUUUCCCUGGGACGGAGGGGGGGGGACGGGAAUUGGUAAAAAAGCCCCCGCCAACCUCCUG
rnacentral:rRNA from 1 species